GAUAAACUACCACUUUUUUUUCUUACAUACAAACUUAAAACUGCAAUCGAGGCUACAUUCAUGGGUUGCUGAGCUUGUUUAACAAAAAAAAUUUCGGAAGAGUGAAUGAAAUACAACUGUCAGAUAUUGCGCGCGGGGAUAUACUUCGAGGAACAUAAUCGUGCAGGUCUGGACUUUAUCAAAACCAGCAACACAUUUCAAAGAUGCAAAAAUCAUAGGUGUGACUAAUGGAAAUGUGGAAGAAGUAUGCGGUGAAAAUGAUUAAGAAGCUGCAGUUAUCUUCCUAAAGCGCAAUGCUGUGCUGUUCUUCCACUUCUAUAAAGAUGGGACUCUAUUGGAAGCAUUCCCAACCAGAGGCGAGAGGAUUAUCGCAGCUAUUCUUGAACACACAUCUCCUACUUCUCAAGAUGUUUAAGCUUAUCUGGUUAUGUCCUUGAACCUUGCUUUCCUUAAAUCAUUGAAUACUUGAUACUAGUGAAUGAGAUAUUAAGUACUUUUUGACAUUGCAUAUACGUGACAUUAUACCAAAGAAUUCUCUCUUUGCCAGAAAGGAAUAUAAUAAUAUUUCCUGUGACAUGCACAGUAUGUUGUUUAUUGCUGUAAUAAUAACAAAUCAU